GUAAAAUGGAGCCCAAUGAUCAAGACAAUCAUUAUUAUGGACAACAUAUGUCUGAGCCUCUACCAGCUCAUUGAGACUCAAAAGAGGAUAAAGAUCCCCCCGAGUGGAUUGCUUUCAAACAUGACCAAUGAAAACCGAGUGAUACGGCCAUCCAACUCACAGUUGAAUGAACACGGCUGGAUAGAUAAGACACCCGAAAGCAAAUCACAAAGGGCUUUCAGACCCAUCUCAGCAUCACAGUGAGCCCAUCUGAACCCCACUUGGGUAAAGAAAAAGCUUUGUGUAAAGCCUUGAAUGAACAAGGCCCUACAUGCUCAAUGAAUGAUCCUUCCGCAGGUUCACCUACGGAAA
rnacentral:misc_RNA from 1 species